GACGAACGCUGGCGGCGUGCUUAACACAUGCAAGUGGAGCGACGAACCAGGGCUUGCCCUGGGGCAGAGCCGCGAACGGGUGAGUAACACGUGGGGAACCUACCCCGAAGACUGGGACAACCCGGGGAAACUCGGGCUAAUACCAGAUGUGGUCCCACUACAUAAGUGGUGUGACUAAAGGAAGCUUCGGCCUCCGCUUUGGGAGGGUCCCGCGGCGCAUUAGCUUGUUGGUGAGGUAACGGCUCACCAAGGCUUCGAUGCGUAGCUGGUCUGAGAGGACGAUCAGCCACACUGGGACUGAGGCACGGCCCAGACUCCUACGGGAGGCAGCAGUGGGGAAUCUUGCGCAAUGGACGAAAGUCUGACGCAGCAACGCCGCGUGAGUGAAGGAGGCCUUCGGGUUGUAAAGCUCUGUCGAGCGGGACGAAAAAUUAUUGGGUGAAUAGCCCAGUAAUCUGACGGUACCGCUAAAGGAAGCACCGGCUAACUCCGUGCCAGCCGCCGCCGCGGUAA
rnacentral:rRNA from 1 species